rnacentral:rRNA from 1 species
AUUGAACGCUGGCGGCAUGCCUUACACAUGCAAGUCGAACGGCAGCACGGGAGCAAUCCUGGUGGCGAGUGGCGAACGGGUGAGUAAUAUAUCGGAACGUGCCCAGUCGUGGGGAUAACGUAGCGAAAGCUACGCUAAUACCGCAUACGAUCUAUGGAUGAAAGCGGGGGAUCGCAAGACCUCGCGCGAUUGGAGCGGCCGAUAUCAGAUUAGGUAGUUGGUGAGGUAAAGGCUCACCAAGCCGACGAUCUGUAGCUGGUCUGAGAGGACGACCAGCCACACUGGGACUGAGAUACGGCCCAGACUCCUACGGGAGGCAGCAGUGGGGAAUUUUGGACAAUGGCGCAAGCCUGAUCCAGCAACUGCCGCGUGCAGGAUGAAGG